UCAUUGAAUGCUAAUUUAAAAUAGCUUUCUGUAUGUUCAACAGGACCGGUUUGUGGGAGACUGAAUGCGUCACAAAAGAAUAUGACACUCGCAAGCAACGAAGUGACAAUAACCUUCGAGUCGGGGUCACAUCGGUCCGGACGGGGCUUUCUACUGUCCUACGCCACAGACCUUUAUCCUGAUAUGGUCUCUUGUUUACAACGAGGGUCUCAUUUUAACUUGCCGCAUGUGAGAGUUUACUGCCCUGCCGGGUGUAAAAAUGUGACUGGAGACAUAUGGGGAGGUCCCGAUCGGGGCUACCGAGAUGUAAGUACAUGGCAUUUAAAAGUUGGGAGUUGAUAGUUGGGUUCACAUCAUGUUUCCACCUCGUAGUUCAGGUUAGAUCAACACAGUUUCAAUUCGAUCAACUCUGACCAGUCCACAACAAAACAUAAAAUUUACAGAUGCGGGUCGAAUGAUAAUCCAGGAGGGUACUCCUUUACUCCCGCGAUAGCAGUAGGUUAAUGAUGAGCCAACUACCAAACAAAUUUGAGUUACAACCGCACCAAAGGAACAGAACUCUUGUCAU